CCUGCUGUCCUGGAAGCUGGGCAAAGCCGCUCAGUGGGGAUAGACUGUGGGGACAGGAGAACCCGGGGCAGGGGCGGGGUGGGGGGCGGUAAGGACACUCAGGACUGGAGCUGGCCUCCCACUUCGGUGGUGUAAUGCAGGCCAAGUUAUGGGACUCUUCUUUUUUGGGGUGGGGGGGCUGCACAUAGGGCAUAUGGAAGUCCCCAGGCUAGGGGUUGAAUUGGAGCUGCAGCUGCCAGCCUACACCACAGCCACAGCAACGCCAGAUCCGAACCGUGUCUGCGACCUACACCAGAGCUCAUGGCAAUGCCGGAUCCCCAACCCACAGAGCGAGGCCAGGAAUCGAACCUGCAACUUCAUGGUUCCUAGGUGGAUUCAACUACACUGCGUCACAACGGGAACUCCAUGUUAUGGGACUAUCUGAGCAUCUGCACCCCUUCCCUAAGAUGGGUAGGAAACCCACCACACUAAGUUGAUGUGGAAUUUAAAUAAGAAAGGGCUGUAUAACCUGCCCAGCACGUGGCCACGAUCAAUGCGUCGUAGCCCCUUCCCCAGACCUGGUGGCUCUGCAAACUCUCCCAUCAUCGAAAGCAAUGCUUUGUUAACGUAUGCAUCGAGGACUCUGGGAAAGCUUCCUAUUUUAGAAAAAGCGGAGUGUACAUUUGAUCUUUGUCGUAAACUGAGUCAGCACUCUUUAAGGAGGGGUAAACCUAGACUUCCUGAUAGACCUUGCCUUGGAAGCUGACUGGAGGGAAGGCGCCAGCCAAGCUCCUUUUUGAUCGGCGGGUACCUGGUUCCAGGUGUUUGUCCUUGGAGCCCCCCAUUUAAUCACUCAGUUCUGGGCUCAGAGGAGCCCUGUGGCUCCAGUGCUGGCAGAGCCAGCUUCCUGAGAAAGCAGGCAUGGGGAGGGGUCUUCUCUCCUGGCCUUUCCAUCUAUCCAUCCAUCCAGGCAGGAGCAGGGACCCUAAGGAGGCAGGGAUGCAACUGGGCUUCCUGCAGAGACUUGGGUCACAUCUGGAGGCUCUCCAUUAAGGAGUGGACAGGGAAAAAAGUGUGCUUAUAAGAACAGGUAUUUGAAAAACAAUAUUAGCCAUUGGCAAAAUAGCUGCAUAAUAAUGACAACAUCAGCCCUGCUGAAGACAUGACAGGCUCUGCUCUAGACACUUUAUAUGUGUUAACUUAUACUAAUCUGCCCAGCAACCCAACGAGGGAGGUACUGUUAUUUUUCUCAUGCUGGGAUUAGGAAACUCCAGCCCAGGAGAGAAUCAGUGAAUUAGUCCAGUUCCCAGAGGCAAGGGCAGGGAUCUGGAUUCUAGGCAGACUGGCUCCUGAGCCUGGGCUCUAGACUGUUCAUUUGUUUCACUGAUUGAGAUUCCAUGGAUCAUUGGCACAAUUUUCCUGCUCAGCGAACAGCCCUUUCCUAAUCCCAAGCUUAAACUCUCAGAUUUAUUUGUUUCGAGUCGAAGCAGGGUGUUAGAUAACUGGAGGAGGCUCAGCAAAAAAGCAGUUAUGACUUCAUUUGAAAUUCAGGCGUAUGAAGCCUUGUUGAUUUUAUUUUCAAGUGAAAUAACCUUUUGGUUAGUUUUAUCAGUCAUUAUUUUUCAGCAAUUUGUUCAAUGGCCAAACAAUCCCCAUUGAAGUGAUUCAUGCUGUACAACAAGGGAGGUCUGUUACUUUCGUUAAUUGUCUCUUUGGGGGUAAAAAGCCCAACCACAGAGCACUCCACCGACACCAGCCGAGAGGCGGAAACAGAGGGGUGGGCUUUGGGCGAAAGUGGAGCCUCUGGGGGCUCAGUUAACCGGAAUUUCAGGAGCGGAGAGAAGCAAUAGGAAGACACCUGUUCAUAAGAAUAAAGUGACACAGGCGCUGUCAAGGGCCACUCCUUACAAGGAGCUCACUGCCUCCGAGCCUGCUGUCUGCCCUGGUGUGCGUAACUCAUUCGCCAUGGCCCUAGGAAGGGGGUCUGGUCCUUCCCCCCAUCUUAUGAUUACCUGGUCCUUUUCCAGAACUCUGAAAGUUACCCCCUUGUUACCCAAAGCGGGAAGACCGUGGGCCAACCAGGGUCACGUCUCUGACCCCCAGCCUCCCCCUCUCCCCUCUCCCCCUGAUCGUCCUCGGGACUGUCCACGGGUUACCCCAAAACAACGCAGGGAUCGUGCUCCCGGUUUCCAGCACGAGGUGGCCCAGAAAUGGGAGAUGCUGUUACGAUUCGGAAUGUCCUAAACAAUGAUCAUGGUAAAACCGUUAUUUAAAUUUUACCUAAACCCCAACGUUACUUAUUUAUUUAUUUUCCUCUGAGCAGCCUGUGAUGAUGAAACCAGGGACAGGGGCUGGAUGGGUCGCCUGGGGCCUCACGACAAGUACCAAACACGAGGUGGCUUAUAGCAGCAGGAAUUCACUCUCUCCCAGCUCUGGAGGCCAGAAGUCCACAGCCAAGGUGUGGCCAGGGCUGCGGUUCCUCUGAAAACUCCAGGACACAGUCUGCUCCACGCCUGUCUCUGAGCUACUGGUGUGGCCGGAGAGCCUUGGAGAUGCCUUGCUUUUACCCGAUCGCUCCCAUCUCUGCCUCCCACUUCCCACGCCUUCAGCCCUGUGUAUCCGUCACUUGUCUCUACCUCCUACGGCGGACACCAGUCAGACUGGGUCGAGCCACUCAGAUGACCUCGUCUUAAUUUGAUUCUUCCACAAAGUCCCUGUUUCUAAAGGGAUCACAUUCACAGGAACCAGGACUUGAACGCAGCUUUUGGAGGAACACAAAGCAACCUAUACCAGGUGCCCUGAAGUUCUGGCUCACAGCCCUGGCCCCGAGGAGGUGAGGCUCCUCAAUCUGCAAACAAAACCAUUCCCAUUAUCUCUGUGGAAGGAACACACCACUUUUUUGGUGACUGCCAGUUCUUGCUUUGUUUAUAGUUUUCUGAUUCAAAGGUUUUCUUUGUCAAGGGCUGCAAAAUCACAACCUUCUUUUGGGAAAUGGCAAGAUUACACUGAGAACAGAAAACACUGUUCAUUUACGAAGCCUAAAGUACACUCAAGACGGAAGGGAGCAUCCUGUGAGCCAGUAACCAGGGAAAGUGCGCCGAUGGCGUCUCCAGAGACAACCUCGACAUUUUGCCAUGUUCUUAGGCGGUCUUUGCCUCCCUGCAAGGCAGCGCUUGACAGUGGUGUUCAGGACACCUGGAUGCAAUUAGCACCGGAGUGGAUCUACCUCCGCAGAGAGAAAAAUUAAGGUUGACGAUAUUGGAGAACGUCGUUAUUCCUGUUGAAACAGGUUCUGUCGACUUGACAGAGGGUCAGUGCACCCUCUUGGCGGAGCUGAACCUUCCCAGCCCUUCUGUUUCCAGCGGGCACCCAUCUCCUCUGGCUUCUGCAGAACCGCAGGAAGGGGAGAACCGCAGUACUCACAGCCACCAGCAGGGGGUGUGUGUUUCCCCUGGAAGCACAGGUGUCCUGUUUUGUUCAUCCCUUCAUCAGUCGAGGGACAUCGGACGGCUUCUGUGUUUUAGCCAUUGUGAAUACUACUGCUGUGAAUCUUUGUGUGCAAGUUUUCACAUGGAGAUAUGUUUCCAUUUCUCUUGGAUAUACAGGUUAUUGCAGAGCAUUGCAUCGACUGCCCAGGGUUAUACAGUAAAAGACCUGGAUAUCUUUGGGGGUCAUGGUUCCUCCCAGGUCUGCAAUGCCCUCUUCCCCAGAGCCCCUCACCUGAGAUGCCCCCCGUGGGUGUCCCUUCCUCCUUCAACUCCCCGACUCAACUGCCUUGGAGGAUCUCGCUGGACCCCAGCUGCGGGUCCUGGUGAAGGAUGGUUUGUCAUAUCUUGAUUUAGUCAAUAUUUUCAGUUAAGCACUGAAGGCCGAGAGCAUCUUCUGAAAUAAGGAACUGCCGCAGCGCCGCUCCUGGCUCUGUUCUCUCUCCACCUUUGGAGGAAGCUUUAUGAUAAAGGCCCCAAGAAACCAAACAUAACGACCUCGAAGACGAGCCCACAUGAUGCUUCAUCAUGAGGCUUGCGAGACCCGCGAGACCCAUCAGAACGAUAAUCUGAAGAUGCUUCCUCAACAUUUCGGAGCAGCAGGGCCCACAGACGACACUGCAAACGUCUUAGAAACCUUCGGUCCAACAAGGAGAGAUACUGUACACUACACUGCGCAUUCUGAAGGCAGGAUGAAAAAAGACUUCAGCUAUUUAACAGUUUGCCCUUUGUUUUUCCCAUUAAAGAAAAGGCAGCAUCCUGAAUUCCCAUCAUGGCUCAGCAGUCAUGAAUACAAGUAGUAUCCACGAGGACACAGGUUCCAUUGGUGGCCUUGCUCAGUGGGUUAGGGAUCCUGCAUUGCCACAAGCUGUGGCGUAGGUCACAGAGGUGGCUCAGAUCUGAAUCUGGCAUGGCUGUGGCUGUGGUGUAGGCCGGCAGCUGCAGCUCUGAUUGGACCCCUGGCCUGGGAACUUCCAUAUGUCAUUAGAUGUGGCCCUAAAAACCAAAUAAAUAAAUACAGACAUACAUAAAUACAUAAAAAGGGCACCAUCAAGACUGCAGUCUGGGAGUUCCCAUCAUGGCGCAGUGGUUAAAGAAUCUGACUAGGAACCAUGAGGUUGCGGGUUCGAUCCCUGGCCUUGCUCGGUGGGUUAAGAAUCUGGCAUUGCCAUGAGCUGUGGUGUAGGUCGCAGACGCGGUUGGGAUCCCGCAUUGCUGUGGCUGUGGUGUAGGCUCUGAUUAGACUCCUAGCCUGGGAAUCUCCAUAUGCCGAGGGUGAGGCCCUAGAAAAGGCAAAAAGACAAGAAAAAAAAAAGACUGCAGUCUGGCUUUGUAGGGGACAAAAGGGAAUGUCAUCAAUUCUGAGAUUCAAACUAAAUGUUAAACUUUCAGGACCAUGGAAGUCUGAGAAAUACUUUCUAUGUCAAAAGAACGUGAAUUUUUAUAUCGUAAGGCCUUGAAUCACAAUCCUUAGGCUGGUAAGGAUGUUUAAAUCAUUUUGAAAAGCUAUUGAAGGAAGGAUAAAGAAAAGCAUUUAAGGAGUUCCCGUCGUGGCGCAGUGGUUAACGAAUCCGACUAGGAACCAUGCGGGUUUCGGGUUCGAUCCCUGCCCUUGCUCAGUGGGUUAAGGAUCCGGCUUUGCCAUGAGCUGUGGCGUAGGUUGCAGACGUGGCUCAGAUCCCACGUUGCUGUGGCUCUGGCGUAGGCUGGUGGCUACAGCUCC
ensembl:lncRNA